GGAAACCAAGGGAACCUCUUCUAAUAACCUGUGGUUCUCCAAAACCUUCUCUACUUUAGGAACCUGUUCACCUAGAAUUUAAGAGUCAUGGGUACCAAACGGAGGACAGAGAAGGAGGAGCAUCUUGCAAUUUGCACAUCACAUGAAUCCGCAUCUCCAUCUAUCUAUCUCUCUGGAAUCGUCAUAAGGGAAAAACAAAGAGACUUGUCAGACCAACUACAGCUUGGUCUGUGCUAUAGUUUGUGGCUCAGAGCUCAUCUUUUCUUAAUCCUCUUCAACUUUAUGUGAACUUUGAACCCUGUAGGACGCUGCUUGGUAUAUCUAGGAAAUAUAGCUAUUCAAGUUACAAUUUAUUUAAUUUGUGAGUGUGUGGGUUUGUGUUAUAAGCCCGCACGGGUGUCUGUGAGUGUCAAAUAUUCCUGAGUCUUGAGAUGUAUACACUCUAGAAGAAAAACGCAGUCUCUUUUUUUAAUACUUUUACGGUCCUUCCUCAGCAUGUGAAGUAUCGCUAGCUUAUAUUCGUAAGCCCUUUCAGGCCCAGCAGCACAUGCCUGUAAUACCAGUGCUUGUGGCUAGGAGACAACAGGAUAAAUCAUUCAAGGCCACCCUUUGCUACAUUGCGAGUUAGAGGUCAGCCAGGGAGACAUAAGGUUGUCUCAGGCAACCUAAACAAGUGUAUGGGGAGAGUGCUUGCUGCAUGGACACGGAGAGCUGAGUUUAAAUCUGGUGCAAUACAUAAGAUCUUAGGCAUGGCUGCACAGAGCUAAGACCCUGGUCCUGCCGUGGGUAGACAGAAGGAUUUCUCGGGCUUGCUGGCUGUCAGCCUAAUUUCAGGUUCAGUGAGAGACCUUGUCUCAAGGGAAUACGGUAGGAAGUAAUGGAACAGGACACUGGACACUUUCCUCUGACUUCCACCUGUGUAUACAAGAGUGGACACUCACAGACACACGUGUACUUAUAACACAAACCCACACACUCACAAAUUAAAUAAAUUAUACCCGGAAUAGCUAUAUUUUCUAUUAUUCAUUUAAUAGAUUAUAAAGAGCAAUUAUCUGUUGUUUUAAACUAUCAAUUAUAACUUUUAAAGUAUUCAUGUAUCCACUUCUGAACAGCUAGACUGAGUAGAGCAUGGGGUUAACACAAGACCAAGGGAGAGUUUAGAUACCCCAGUGAUGUUUAAAACUAAGAGGGUAAAAAACAUGACUUUAAAAUUUCACCUUGUACCAAUAAGAGUCAAUAAUAUAAAAUGCACCCUGGAGGAUAAUUGACCCAUUGUGUGACCUGUUUCCAACCCCUGACAAUACAGUUUAGAAAGAUGAACUUCAUUUCAAGUAGGUCACAGGUUCUCUAACGACAAGCUCCAGCACCUUAGUCACCACUGUAUCCAUGGCGCUUUCCCUUCCUGGGGAGUAUUGAGGGAUGAAUGGACCUCUGAAAUAUGCUUCAAUUACCUGUGUAAAUAUCGACAUAAGGCCCAGCCCUUUCCUACUGAUUAGUCCAUUUCCUCAAAUAUAAAGGAGGACAAAGGUUAUGUCAAUGACGCUGAGUUGUGUAAGCCCUUUUGGAGAUGUUGUGGUAAAGCGUUACUCAACAAACCCAGCAAGUAGAUCUGGAGUGAGUACAUCUCUAUCCUUGUGUGCAGGUCUGUGGGUAUAUACAGACAGUGUGAGGUCAUUCUCAAGUUACCGGCUGUGCUAGCCACAGGACACAGGCUGAGACCCAUGUGUGUCACAGCUCUUUAAGAUGACCGUAGAAAGGGUCAUGUCCCUUUGGACCUCAAGAGUCCAGACUAUCAUCUUCUCGCAAGCCUCUUCACCUCUGCAGGACCAGGUUUGCUUGUCAAGACACCAGGCCAAUCCUACCUUCAUGGAACAGUGAUGAAGCCUGCCUUGUAAACUCCAAGAAUCUCUCACCAAAGCUGAAGCACAUUACAUCAUCUAUAAUGAUUUUCCAAUAAACUUCAGGGAUCCUCCCAUUUGUACACCCCUCCCCCCACAACAAAGAAAUCUUCUCACAUCUGUGAUGGGGAUCCAAACUCAGGACCUCAUGCUUGCACAGUGGAUACUUUAUCACCUGGGCCAUCCCCCCCAGUCCCUGCACUCUCACAUAUCAAAACAUGCAGCAUCUUGAGGUCGUUCAGAGCGUGAUGCCUCUUACCUGACGGCCUGAAGUCAAACGAAGAUGCAUCUUGCCAGUGAAAAGGAUGCACCGAUGGGAGGCAGCAGAGGAGGCAGAAAAGCGCAUGCAGUUUGAGUGGUACCAUCUUAGGAGCUGAGCAGUGGCUUCAGUUUGAUGUUCUUUGGAGCAGAUAAUUAAAAGAAAAGAAAUGCAAUGAACACACUGAAGAGGACUUAAGUGCCUGCCAAUCAGUGAGCCCGAGGUCCCAGUAAUGUUUGUUUACAGCGAAACACAUAUUGUUUAUUCAGAGAUGGCUGGCAGAAUCCUUGAUGCUAAUGGGUGGCAGAACAUGGGAAUAACAUUUCAAGACAGCUAAAUAUGAUUUUCUCUAUUUUUACAGGUGUCUUCUGGUUACAAGGAAAACAUGGAGUCAUGAUAAUG
rnacentral:lncRNA from 1 species